rnacentral:lncRNA from 1 species
AUGUGUCACGCCCCGGGACCCAGCGGAAGCCCGCCCGGCACGUGCCCAGACCCGCCAUACGUCUAAAACAUAUAAGGCGUCUAAAAACAACAAUAAUAAAAGCAAUAAUAAAAGACAUCUAGGAGUAUCAGAGCAUAAUAAAUGUCUAAAUGCUACCACAAGGGAUAAGGAUAAAACUGUAAAUCCACUAAAUAAGACAUCUAGGUUAUCGUUUGGUGAUUGCGAUGAUCUUCUUUUUAUGAAUUACGAGGUGUAUACGAACUUUGUAGUAUAUUUUGUCACGAAAUCGCCAAAGGGGGAGAUUGUUAAGGAUUUUAUAGGUUGGCGAAUUUCGUAAGGUUGUUUGGAGUCUUGAAGAGUUGAUCGCAGAAGUGUUUGAGAAUAGAUUCAAAUUGGAGGACGAAGACUCAUUCGGAAAGCUCGACACCUAAGGUAUGAAGAAAAGACUAUUUGUGGUGAAAACAUAUAAUUAGAAUAAGUUCAGAAGGCUUAGAGUGGUUUAAAAUAUUUUUUCUGAACUUUCAUGUGUUCUGGGACCGGUCUCUGAGAUUGAGAGACCGGUUCCACCAAGGUCCUCACUGCGUAAACUGUGAUGCAACCGGUCCCCUGUGAUGAGAGACCGGUUCCCGAACCAUGGUGCUUCUGUCGCGCAGCGAGGGACCGGUCUCGAGUUUGUGAGACCGGUUCCCGAACGUUGGGUUUUUGGUUACGCAGAGAGGGACCGGUUCCUCACUUGAGAGACCGGUCUCUCACAGACCGGUCU